CACGUACUGUGCGAACGUUAUUCGGAAUCACUGGGCUUAAAGGGUGCGUAGGCGGUUAAGUAAGUAGGGUGUGAAAUGCCAGGGCUCAACCUUGGCACGGCGCUCUAAACUGCUCAACUUGAGUGAGAUAGGGGUGUACGGAACUUCCGGUGGAGCGGUGAAAUGCGUUGAUAUCGGAAGGAACACCGGUGGCGAAAGCGGUACACUGGGUCUUAACUGACGCUGAGGCACGAAAGCCAGGGUAGCGAACGGG
rnacentral:misc_RNA from 1 species